CCAAUAGCGUAUAUUAAAGUUGUUGCAGUUAAAAAGCUCGUAGUUGAAUUUCGGGGUCAGUAAGUUGGUCGUGCCACUGGUAUGUACUGGCUUUACUGAUUCCUCCUUCUUGUAGAACCGUAAUGCCAUUAAGUUGGUGUUGCGGGGAAACAGGACUGUUACUUUGAAAAAAUUAGAGUGUUUAAAGCAGGCUAACGCUUGAAUACAUUAGCAUGGAAUAAUGAAAUAGGGCGUUCGAUCCUAUUUUGUUGGUUUCUAGGAUUGACGUAAUGAUUAAUAGGGAUAGUUGGGGGCAUUAGUAUUCAAUUGUCAGAGGUGAAAUUCUUGGAUUUAUUGAAGACUGACUACUGCGAAAGCAUUUGCCAAGGAUGUUUUCAUUAAUCAAGAACGAAAGUUAGGGGAUCGAAGACGAUCAGAUACCGUCGUAGUCUUAACCAUAAACUAUGCCGACUAGGGAUCGGAUGAUGUUAAUUUUUUAAUGACUCAUUCGGCGCCUUACG
rnacentral:rRNA from 1 species